rnacentral:rRNA from 1 species
AGUGAACGCUGGCGGUAGGCCUAACACAUGCAAGUCGAACGGCAGCACAGUAAGAUCUUGCUCUUACGGGUGGCGAGUGGCGGACGGGUGAGGAAUACAUCGGAAUCUACUUUUUCGUGGGGGAUAACGUAGGGAAACUUACGCUAAUACCGCAUACGACCUACGGGUGAAAGCAGGGGAUCUUCGGACCUUUCGCGAUUGAAUGAGCCGAUGUCGGAUUAGCUAGUUGGCGGGGUAAAGGCCCACCAAGGCGACGAUCCGUAGCUGGUCUGAGAGGAUGAUCAGCCACACUGGAACUGAGACACGGUCCAGACUCCUACGGGAGGCAGCAGUGGGGAAUAUUGGACAAUGGGCGAAAGCCUGAUCCAGCCAUACCGCGUGGGUGAAGAAGGCCUUCGGGUUGUAAAGCCCUUUUGUUGGGAAAGAAAAGCAGCAGGUUAAUACCCCGCUGUUCUGACGGUACCCAAAGAAUAAGCACCGGCUAACUUCGUG